CAUGCACAAGUCUACUAUAAUGUUUAUAGUGGGGCAUCUUUGAUCAUUUCUCGAGAAGUACUUUAUACCUUUAAACAGCUUUUUAAGUAGCUGCUUUGUGUUUUUUGUUGCAUUUGUAUAUACUGUAUAACAUAUGUAAAAAUAAAAACAUUGUUAAUAUGACUUUCAACUCAUUGAGUUAUCUAGGAAAAAAGUAAAAAUAGG